rnacentral:tRNA from 3 species
GACCCUUUAGUAUAAUGGUAGUACCAUCGCUCUUCAUGCGGCUGGCACCAGUUCGAUUCUGGUAAGGGUUA